AUUGAACGCUGGCGGCAGGCCUAACACAUGCAAGUCGGGCGAGCGGCGGACGGGUGAGUAAUGUAUGGGGAUCUGCCUGAUGGAAGGGGAUAACUACUGGAAACGGUAGCUAAUACCGCCUACCCUCAGAUGAACCCAUAUGGGAUUGGCUUGUAGGGGGGGUAACGGCUCACCUAGGCGACGAUCUCUAGCUGGUCUGAGAGGAUGAUCAGCCACACUGUGACGGAGACACGGCCCAGAGUCCUCGGGGGGGCAGAAGUGGGGAAUAUUGCACAAUGGGCGCAAGCUGUAUACAGACAUGCCGGGUGUAUGAAGAAGGCUUUAGGGUUUUAAAGUACUUUCAGCGGGGAGGCGUUACCCGAAGAAGAAGCACCGGCUAACUCCGUGCCAGCAGCGGCGGUAAUUC
rnacentral:rRNA from 1 species